AAGAUCCUAGGGGUGUGUCUGCCACUUGGCUUUAUCAUCACUACUAGAUAGCUAUUCACUAAUCCUUCGCCAAAAACUUCUCUAUAUAAAGAAGUGAUUUGCAUCAAUCAAUUCCAAGUUCAGAGAUUUGAUCUUUCCUCUUUCAACACUUAUAGCGAGAGAAUGAAGUAUGUGGUGGUGUUAUUUACGGUGAUGAUGGUGAUGGAGAAUUCCUGCGUGGCUAUCCGCAAGUUGGAAGAAGAAGCAGCUGACCUUGGCAUAAAUGGAAAUGAAGUGGAGAAAAUGCAUGAAGCUGUGACGGGUGAAUUAUAUGAUCAUCAAAAAGAUAAACAGGAAGUAGUAACAACAACAACAGUGAUUAAUACUAGUGAAGAAGUGCAAGAGACGAAAAAGAACAAGGAUGUAAAAGGUUAUCAAGCAGGACAACACCAUGGAAUACCUAGACAAUAUUAUAACGACUGGGGUAGCAGUGGAAAUGAUAUCGGUGGUAGCGGGUAAUUAAUCCUUGCUUCUCAGUCGAGUUGCUGUUGCUUUAUAAAUAUAGUGCGUAGCAGUAUUGUCUAAUGGUAAGUGCUAGUGUGUAUGUUGUGCAUCACCUUCCAAAUAAAAAAAGUUGUGCACUUACGGUGCGUAAUAUUUCGGAUAUUGUAGCAUCUAUACAUGUAUGACCUAGUAGUUCUAUCUACGUGUAAAUUACGUCGUAUAUUAAUUAAUACCAUGUUUGAUUGGUGA